AAGUUUUCCCAAAAACAUUUAUUUAAGAAACUGUUCUUUCUCCAGUGUAUGUUCUUAGUGUCUUUGUCAAAAAUGAGUUGACUACAAGUGUGUGGAUUUAUUUCUGGCUUC